GCCUUCGUGGUGUAGUGGCCAGCACGCUGGGUGCGUAUUCCAAGAGGUCCGUGGUUCGAUUCCCGGCGAAGGCG
rnacentral:tRNA from 1 species